GAGUUUGAUCCUGGCUCAGAUUGAACGCUGGCGGCAUGCCUUACACAUGCAAGUCGAACGGCAGCACGGGAGCUUGCUCCUGGUGGCGAGUGGCGAACGGGUGAGUAAUGCAUCGGAACGUAUCCUGGAGUGGGGGAUAACGUAGCGAAAGUUACGCUAAUACCGCAUAUUCUGUGGGCAGGAAAGCGGGGGACCUUCGGGCCUCGCGCUCUUGGAGCGGCCGAUGUCGGAUUAGCUAGUUGGUGAGGUAAAGGCUCACCAAGGCGACGAUCCGUAGCAGGUCUGAGAGGAUGAUCUGCCACACUGGAACUGAGACACGGUCCAGACUCCUACGGGAGGCAGCAGUGGGGAAUUUUGGACAAUGGGGGCAACCCUGAUCCAGCCAUGCCGCGUGAGUGAAGAAGGCCUCGGUUGUAAGAC
rnacentral:rRNA from 1 species